GCCUCGGUAGCUCAGUUGGUUAGAGCGUCGGACUCAUAACCCGGAGGUCGGCGGUUCAAUUCCGCCCCGUGGCACCA
rnacentral:tRNA from 1 species